rnacentral:sRNA from 1 species
CAGCUGAUCCAGCGGAUUGGACAUGCCCGUGAGGCCGGACAGACCGGCCAUUGGCAUGCCAGCGGCACCGAGCAUGCCAUGAAGUCCACCGGCUGCUGCCACUGCAGCUGCUGCCGCCUGCUGUUGCUGCUGCUGGUGAUGUUGUUGCUGCUGUUGCUGUUGCUGCUGCUGCUGCUGCUGUUGCUGGUGGUGAUGCUGCUGUUGCUGUUG